UUCAGUGCAAAAGGAGGAGUGACUGGUCAGCGCUUUAAGAACUUGUUGAUGGAACUGAUACAGGACCCAAGUGCCUCUGCAGUGAAGAAGAGAGAUGUGACUCUGAGAGGCCUCAUAGAGUACAUGGGAGAGAGUGGACAGGAGCUAAUCUCUGACUACUGUGGAACUGCAUAGACCACUGUUCAUGAGGACCUGAAAAUGAAGAAUAUGAGCAUCUACAUCUGUCAUGAGCCAA